GGCAAGAACGUGGUUUCGGGUUGACUUUUGAGCCGGUUCGAGAUCCAGGUACCUCCACUCAGACUCAUCACGCUUGAGACAAGGCGCUUGUAGAGACUCCGAGAUCCAGGUACCUCCACUCAGACUCAUCAAGCUUGAGACGAGGCGCUUGUAGAGACUCCGAGGUAUAUCUACCGCUUCCGCAGACCAAAGAAUCCCUUUCUACUCCCCCUUUUUAUUAUUAGCCCUUCUGUAUUUUCCUUUCCUUUAUUAGAUAUUCUGGAGUUAGAUACUAGUAGACAUUCAAAGGCUUGUGAUCAUGAGAUUCCGAGUUUUGGGAAAUGUGUUCAGAUUUCGAGAGUUGUUAUUGUGUAUGCCGAGCAACACUUUUAAACACCAUUUUAUUUCACUAUUGUUCUUAUAUUUUCUUCCGCAAUUGGUUUAUUUUCCGCAUUGUUAGGAUUACCCAGUCGUAGAGACUGGGUGCCGUCACGAUGGUUCACGGAGGGCGAACCGGGGUCGUGACAAUUUUGC